rnacentral:rRNA from 1 species
GACGAACGCUGGCGGCGUGCCUAAUACAUGCAAGUAGAACGCACAGUUUAUACCGUAGCUUGCUACACCAUACACUGUGAGUUGCGAACGGGUGAGUAACGCGUAGGUAACCUGCCUGGUAGCGGGGGAUAACUAUUGGAAACGAUAGCUAAUACCGCAUAAUAUUGAUUAUUGCAUGAUAAUUGAUUGAAAGAUGCUAUUGCAUCACUACCAGAUGGACCUGCGUUGUAUUAGCUAGUAGGUGAGGUAACGGCUCACCUAGGCGACGAUACAUAGCCGACCUGAGAGGGUGAUCGGCCACACUGGGACUGAGACACGGCCCAGACUCCUACGGGAGGCAGCAGUAGGGAAUCUUCGGCAAUGGACGAAAGUCUGACCGAGCAACGCCGCGUGAGUGAAGAAGGGUUUCGGAUCGUAAAGCUCUGUUGUAAGAGAAGAACGGGUGUGAGAGUGGAAAGUUCACACUGUGACGGUAUCUUACCAGAAAGGGACGGCUAACUACGUG